AUACGUAGGGGGCGAGCGUUGUCCGGAAUGAUUGGGCGUAAAGGGCGCGUAGGCGGCCUGUUAAGUCUGGAGUGAAAGUCCUGUUUUCAAGAUGGGAAUUGCUUUGGAUACUGAUGGGCUUGAGUGCAGGAGAGGUUAUCGGAAUUCCCGGUGUAGCGGUGAAAUGCGUAGAGAUCGGGAGGAACACCAGUGGCGAAGGCGGGUAACUGGACUGCAACUGACGCUGAGGCGCGAAAGUGUGGGGAGCAAACAGGAUUAGAUACCCUGGUAGUCCACACUGUAAACGAUGAAUGCUAGGUGUAAGAGGUAUCGACCCCUUUUGUGCCGGAGUUAACACAAUAAGCAUUCCGCCUGGGGAGUACGGCCGCAAGGUUGAAACUCAAAGGAAUCGGCGGGG
rnacentral:rRNA from 1 species